rnacentral:rRNA from 1 species
AGAGUUUGAUCCUGGCUCAGAUUGAACGCUGGCGGCAUGCUUUACACAUGCAAGUCGGACGGCAGCACAGAGAAGCUUGCUUCUUGGGUGGCGAGUGGCGAACGGGUGAGUAACAUAUCGGAACGUACCGAGCAGUGGGGGAUAACUAAUCGAAAGAUUAGCUAAUACCGCAUAUCUUCUGAGGAAGAAAGCAGGGGACCAUUUGGCCUUGCGCUGUUUGAGCGGCCGAUAUCUGAUUAGCUAGUUGGUGGGGUAAAGGCCUACCAAGGCGACGAUCAGUAGCGGGUCUGAGAGGAUGAUCCGCCACACUGGGACUGAGACACGGCCCAGACUCCUACGGGAGGCAGCAGUGGGGAAUUUUGGACAAUGGGCGCAAGCCUGAUCCAGCCAUGCCGCGUGUCUGAAGAAGGCCUUCGGGUUGUAAAGGACUUUUGUCAGGGAAGAAAAGGGCGGGGUUAAUACCCCUGUCUGAUGACGGUACCUGAAGAAUAAGCACCGGCUAACUACGUGCCAGCAGCCGCGGUAAUACGUAGGGUGCGAGCGUUAAUCGGAAUUACUGGGCGUAAAGCGGGCGCAGACGGUUACUUAAGCAGGAUGUGAAAUCCCCGGGCUCAACCUGGGAACUGCGUUCUGAACUGGGUGACUAGAGUGUGUCAGAGGGAGGUAGAAUUCCACGUGUAGCAGUGAAAUGCGUAGAGAUGUGGAGGAAUACCGAUGGCGAAGGCAGCCUCCUGGGAUAACACUGACGUUCAUGCCCGAAAGCGUGGGUAGCAAACAGGAUUAGAUACCCUGGUAGUCCACGCCCUAAACGAUGUCGAUUAGCUGUUGGGCAGCAUGACUGCUUAGUAGCGAAGCUAACGCGUGAAAUCGACCGCCUGGGGAGUACGGUCGCAAGAUUAAAACUCAAAGGAAUUGACGGGGACCCGCACAAGCGGUGGAUGAUGUGGAUUAAUUCGAUGCAACGCGAAGAACCUUACCUGGUCUUGACAUGUACGGAACCCUCCAGAGACGGAGGGGUGCCUUCGGGAGCCGUAACACAGGUGCUGCAUGGCUGUCGUCAGCUCGUGUCGUGAGAUGUUGGGUUAAGUCCCGCAACG